CAGAGAACUUUCUGACAUCCAUCAUGUGUGCGUGCUUGACUGCGGCACUCCCAAUGUAGCUUGAGGAGCCAUUGUUCUCCAAUCCACCCCAGAGCCAAGGGACUUUACAUCUCUCAUAAACUGCCCAACCUUUAGCACCUUGGUUUCCUGUUUUAUUUAGUUAUGAAUGUUCACGGUUUAUGAUGCCUGCACAUUCUACAUCACAACACAUGUCUGGAUUGCAGUGUUUCUGGCUGGAUCUCCAUCUCUGCUUGCCUGCUUGCCUUAUCGUGGAGUUUGCAUGCAAACUUCAUGCACAUGGACCCAAGACUGGUCCUGAGCUUUCAACCAUGAAUGUGCAAGGCCAUGGUACAUGGUACGAAGCACUGCACCACCACGCUGCCAAAGCACAG